rnacentral:RNase_P_RNA from 1 species
UCUGAGCAGUUGCGGGUGCAGUACCGAAAGGUCGCACGCGAGGAAAGUCCGGGCUCCACAGGGCAAAGGAUAACGGCUAACGGCCGCCGGGGGUGACCCUAGGGAAAGUGCAACAGAAAUUAUACCGCCUGCGUAGGCAGGUAAGGAUGAAACGGCGAGGUAAGAGCUCACCGGCACAUAGGAGACUAUGUGGCCUUGUAAACCCUAUCCGGAGCAACACCGCAAAAAAGACAUUACAUCGGCCCGAUGGUCUUAUAGGUGGCACUGAGCUGUUUCGGUAACGAUCAGCCAAGAUAGAUGACUGCUUUUAACAGAACCCGGCUUAUAGGGUUAGU